rnacentral:rRNA from 1 species
AUUGAACGCUGGCGGCAUGCCUUGCACAUGCAAGUCGAACGGCAGCACGGGAGCAAUCCUGGUGGCGAGUGGCGAACGGGUGAGUAAUAUAUCGGAACGUGCCCAGUCGUGGGGGAUAACGUAGCGAAAGCUACGCUAAUACCGCAUACGAUCUAUGGAUGAAAGCGGGGGAUCGCAAGACCUCGCGCGAUUGGAGCGGCCGAUAUCAGAUUAGGUAGUUGGUGAGGUAAAGGCUCACCAAGCCGACGAUCUGUAGCUGGUCUGAGAGGACGACCAGCCACACUGGGACUGAGACACGGCCCAGACUCCUACGGGAGGCAGCAGUGGGGAAUUUUUGGACAAUGGCGCAAGCCUGAUCCAGCAAUGCCGCGUGCAGGAUGAAGGCC